rnacentral:rRNA from 1 species
GACAGAGGCCCCAAGCGUUAGGCGGGAUCACUGGGCUUAAAGCGUGUGUAGGCGGACGCCUAAGUGUCUUGUGAAAUCCCACGGCUCACCCGUGGAACUGCUGGGCAUACUGGGCGUCUUGGGCCAACUAGGGGCAGCCGGAACAAGCGGUGGAGCGGUGAAAUGCGUAGAUAUCGCUUGGAACGCCGAAGGUGAAAACAGGCUGCUGGGGUUGCGCCGACGCUGAGACACGAAAGCCAGGGGAGCAAACGGG